rnacentral:rRNA from 1 species
UUGGAGGGCAAGUCUGGUGCCAGCAGCCGCGGUAAUUCCAGCUCCAAUAGCGUAUAUUAAAGUUGCUGCAGUUAAAAAGCUCGUAGUUGAAUUUCGGGACUAAUAUGUCGGUCGUGCCUCGGUACGUACUGGCUUAUUGGUUUCUCCUUUCUGAAGAACCAUGAUGUCAUUUAUUUGGUGUCGUGGGGAAUCAGGACUGUUACUUUGAAAAAAUUAGAGUGUUUAAAGCAGGCUCACGCUUGAAUACAUUAGCAUGGAAUAAUGAAAUAGGACGUUUGAUUCUAUUUUGUUGGUUUCUAGGAUCGACGUAAUGAUUAAUAGGGAUAGUUGGGGGCAUUAGUAUUCAAUUGUCAGAGGUGAAAUUCUUGGAUUUAUUGAAGACUAACUACUGCGAAAGCAUUUGCCAAGGAUGUUUUCAUUAAUCAAGAACGAAAGUUAGGGGAUCGAAGACGAUCAGAUACCGUCGUAGUCUUAACCAUAAACUAUGCCGACUAGGGAUCGGAUGAUGUUAAUUUUUUAAUGACUCAUUCGGCGCCUUACGGGAAACA